rnacentral:rRNA from 1 species
UACGUAGGGUGCAAGCGUUAAUCGGAAUUACUGGGCGUAAAGCGUGCGCAGGCGGUGAUGUAAGACAGGUGUGAAAUCCCCGGGCUUAACCUGGGAACUGCAUUUGUGACUGCAUCGCUGGAGUGCGGCAGAGGGGGAUGGAAUUCCGCGUGUAGCAGUGAAAUGCGUAGAUAUGCGGAGGAACAUCGAUGGCGAAGGCAAUCCCCUGGGCCUGCACUGACGCUCAUGCACGAAAGCGUGGGGAGCAAACAGG